UACGAAGGGGGCUAGCGUUGCUCGGAAUCACUGGGCGUAAAGCGCACGUAGGCGGAUUGUUAAGUCAGGGGUGAAAUCCUGGAGCUCAACUCCAGAACUGCCUUUGAUACUGGCGAUCUUGAGUCCGGGAGAGGUGAGUGGAACUGCGAGUGUAGGAGGUGAAAUUCGUAGAUAUUCGCAAGAACACCAGUGGCGAAGGCGGCUCACUGGCCCGGUACUGACGCUGAGGUGCGAAAGCGUGGGAGCAACAGG
rnacentral:rRNA from 1 species